CUACGGGUGGCAGCAGUGGGGAAUAUUGCACAAUGGAGGAAACUCUGAUGCAGCAACGCCGCGUGGAGGAUGACACUUUUCGGAGCGUAAACUCCUUUUAUAUAGGAAGAAGAUGACGGUACUAUAUGAAUAAGCGCCGGCUAACUCCGUGCCAGCAGCCGCGGUAAUACGGAGGGCGCAAGCGUUACUCGGAAUCACUGGGCGUAAAGAGCGUGUAGGCGGAUUAAAAAGUCAGAAGUGAAAUCCUAUAGCUUAACUAUAGAACUGCUUCUGAAACUCUUAAUCUAGAAUAUGGGAGAGCGGGAGAGGGAAUUUGGGGGGUAGGGGUAAAAUCCGAAGAGAUAAGAAGGAAUACCGAUGGCGAAGGGGAUAUACUAGAACAUUAUAGACGCGGAGACGCGAAAGCGUGGGGAGCAAACAGGAUUAGAUACCCGAGUAGUC
rnacentral:rRNA from 1 species